GUAAAUAUUUGUUCAAAUGCCACAGUCGUACACCAAGGUUCAGGAAAUUACAGAUUCUCUACUGCAUUAAAAAGAAGAGAUACCGGUAAAGAUAUACUCUUUGAACGAUAUCACAUAACGAUAAAACCCAAACUCCAUAAAAGCAGUUCUUUAUCUGACCUUACCACGAAUGUAAGCGACCUUUGUGAGUUUCAAUUCUUUUGACUAUCUACAAAGAGCGAAAAAUUGUUACUCAAAUGAAAGGAACAUAAAAUAUUAUACAUUUGAUGCGUCAGGAGAUACAUUAGAAGAAUAUUGGUCAACAAAAUAUUUAUUACAAAAUAAUUAUAUGUCGUGUAAGGGAAAGAAAAAGUCAAAAAAGAAAUUUAGAAUGUCUCCAGACAAUUUUGCUUCAAGGCUAGCAAAUGACUACAUGCACAAGCAGGACAGAGAUAUUAAUACUUCAUCAAGUACUGACACAACAAGUAUGUGCAGCACAGAUGAGUUCAGUACACAAAAUACAGCAACAUUUCCUUUUA
rnacentral:misc_RNA from 1 species